CGACGGAGCAAACACAACAAGAGCGUCAUUGCCAAGCUAUAAACACCUACAUGGCUGAGUCUGAGUUGACUGUGGAGUAAAAGGGAGCAAGAAGAUGAUGGCAACCAGAACAGUCCCUGGCCUGGGAGAAAAGCCCCAUUCCUGAGACACUUUGAUCCCGUUCACUGGGGGCAAUGACCUCUGACUGCAAAUGUGAUAGGAAUUUAUGCACCACCAUCAGCAACAUCCUGUCUACUUGUGAGGUGGUCUUCGGGGGGCAAGAGAUUCUCCUCCUCUGCUUACUUCCUACUUGGAGAUGAAAAUCAGCUUCACAAGUGCAAGGAAACCAUGUGGCCCUUGAGGGAGCCAUCUACGUUGGGAAACUGGCCAAAGAUGAAAGGACCAAGAAGAGAAAAUUCUGGAUCAUUCCUCAACAAGCAUUUAUUGAUUUCUUUUCUGCUACAGUAGUGUGUAAACUACUUAGGAUGAGCAAUAAUGUUGAUAUGCUUUCAUUCUGUGACAGCGAUAGUCAUGCAUGUAUGCUUCAACUGACACUAGGUUGACUCCAAACAUUUAACUUUGACAAGAUGAAACCAAAUUAAGCUGAUUUUCCCUACCUCUAGUUAGUUCUCUUAUUGGUUCAGUGCUAAAUUUUAUGCCAUACACAUAUUUCAUUGCCCUUUUAAUUCUGUGGUUUUUAAGCAUAUAUUUUUCACUAAGGAAAUAUGCAAAAGUUGUAACUCUUAAUGAGCACACUUAAUAAAUAUUAGAAGUAUUGCAGUGGCUAUUGAUAUGGGGAAGUCAGACAUUUAAAGGAUCAUUAAAGAUUAAAAUGAUACAAGAUUAAUCAUACCAAAGUGCAAAGGAAAAUACAUGAAAACAAAAGUACCAAUGGUGAUUAAAAAAAAUUAUGUCGUUGAUGUAUUCAAACAUACAUUAAUAUCUUGCUAAAUUCUUUUUAUCUCCACCCCACACCCACACAUACAAGAGCUCAAACACAUUAACAAGUAUUGAUUGCCUCUUUUUCUGACCCAAUCAUGUUGGAUACUUCUUUAACUGUUUAAACCUGAAUGGUUGGUACAGAGUCUAACCAGAA